rnacentral:sRNA from 1 species
UGGAGCUUGAUUGAUGACUUACAUUGCUCGUUUCAACGGUCUACUACUACUAAACGCACCUUCUUUGCGCGGUAGACUGGUGGACGACAUUCAGCAUUAAGUCAGCUCCAGUUAAGACAAAAAACCCGCGCCGUUGCGCGGGUUUUUUU